UUAGAGUUUGAUCCUGGCUCAGGACGAACGCUGGCGGCGCGCCUAACACAUGCAAGUCGAACGAGCGAGAGAGAGCUUGCUUUCUCGAGCGAGUGGCGAACGGGUGAGUAACGCGUGAGGAACCUGCCUCAAAGAGGGGGACAACAGUUGGAAACGACUGCUAAUACCGCAUAAGCCCACGGGUCGGCAUCGACCAGAGGGAAAAGGAGCAAUCCGCUUUGAGAUGGCCUCGCGUCCGAUUAGCUAGUUGGUGAGGUAACGGCCCACCAAGGCAACGAUCGGUAGCCGGACUGAGAGGUUGAACGGCCACAUUGGGACUGAGACACGGCCCAGACUCCUACGGGAGGCAGCAGUGGGGAAUAUUGCACAAUGGGGGAAACCCUGAUGCAGCGACGCCGCGUGGAGGAAGAAGGUCUUCGGAUUGUAAACUCCUGUUGUUGAGGAAGAUAAUGACGGUACUCAACAAGGAAGUGACGGCUAACUACGUGCCAGCAGCCGCGGUAAAACGUAGGUCACAAGCGUUGUCCGGAAUUACUGGGUGUAAAGGGAGCGCAGGCGGGAAGACAAGUUGGAAGUGAAAUCCAUGGGCUCAACCCAUGAACUGCUUUCAAAACUGUUUUUCUUGAGUAGUGCAGAGGUAGGCGGAAUUCCCGGUGUAGCGGUGGAAUGCGUAGAUAUCGGGAGGAACACCAGUGGCGAAGGCGGCCUACUGGGCACCAACUGACGCUGAGGCUCGAAAGUGUGGGUAGCAAACAGGAUUAGAUACCCUGGUAGUCCACACCGUAAACGAUGAUUACUAGGUGUUGGAGGAUUGACCCCUUCAGUGCCGCAGUUAACACAAUAAGUAAACCCACCUGGGGAGUACGACCGCAAGGUUGAAACUCAAAGGAAUUGACGGGGGCCCGCACAAGCAGUGGAGUAUGUGGUUUAAUUUGACGCAAACGCGAAGAACCUUACCAAGUCUUGACAUCCCUUGACGAUGCUGGAAACAGUAUUUCUCUUCGGAGCAAGGAGACAGGUGGUGCAUGGUUGUCGUCAGCUCGUGUCGUGAGAUGUUGGGUUAAGUCCCGCAACGAGCGCAACCCUUAUGGUCAGUUACUACGCAAGAGGACUCUGGCCAGACUGCCGUUGACAAAACGGAGGAAGGUGGGGAUGACGUCAAAUCAUCAUGCCCUUUAUGACUUGGGCUACACACGUACUACAAUGGCGUUAAACAAAGAGAAGCAAGACCGCGAGGUGGAGCAAAACUCAGAAACAACGUCCCAGUUCGGACUGCAGGCUGCAACUCGCCUGCACGAAGUCGGAAUUGCUAGUAAUCGUGGGUCAGCAUGCCACGGUGAAUACGUUCCCGGGCCUUGCACACACCGCCCGUCA
rnacentral:rRNA from 1 species